rnacentral:rRNA from 1 species
UGCCAGCAGCCGCGGUAAUACGGAGGGGGCAAGCGUUAUUCGGAAUUAUUGGGCGUAAAGGGCGUGUAGGUGGCUAGAUCAGCCAAAGGUGAAAUCCCCCGGCUUAACCGGGGAACUGCCUCUGGAACUGUCUAGCUUGAGGCCGGGAGGGGGUAGCGGAAUUCCCAGUGUAGCGGUGAAAUGCGUAGAUAUUGGGAGGAACACCAGUGGCGAAGGCGGCUACCUGGACCGGUUCUGACACUGAAGCGCGAAAGCGUGGGGAGCAAACAGGAUUAGAUA